rnacentral:rRNA from 1 species
AUUGAACGCUGGCGGCAGGCCUAACACAUGCAGUCGAGCGGAUGAAGGGAGCUUGCUCCUGGAUUCAGCGGCGGACGGGUGAGUAAUGCCUAGGAAUCUGCCUGGUAGUGGGGGAUAACGUCCGGAAACGGGCGCUAAUACCGCAUACGUCCUGAGGGAGAAAGUGGGGGAUCUUCGGACCUCACGCUAUCAGAUGAGCCUAGGUCGGAUUAGCUAGUUGGUGGGGUAAAGGCCUACCAAGGCGACGAUCCGUAACUGGUCUGAGAGGAUGAUCAGUCACACUGGAACUGAGACACGGUCCAGACUCCUACGGGAGGCAGCAGUGGGGAAUAUUGGACAAUGGGCGAAAGCCUGAUCCAGCCAUGCCGCGUGUGUGAAGAAGGUCUUCGGAUUGUAAAGCACUUUAAGUUGGGAGGAAGGGCAGUAAGUUAAUACCUUGCUGUUUUGACGUUACCAACAGAAUAAGCACCGGCUAACUUCGUGC